UUGGAGGGCAAGUCUGGUGCCAGCAGCCGCGGUAAUUCCAGCUCCAAUAGCGUAUAUUAAAGUUGUUGCAGUUAAAAAGCUCGUAGUUGAAUUUCGGGGUCAGUAGGUUGGUCAUGCCACUGGUAUGUACUGGUCUCACUGAUUCCUCCUUCCUGAUGAGCCGUAAUGCCAUUAAUUUGGUGUUGCGAGGAAUCUGGACUGUUACUUUGAAAAAAUUAGAGUGUUUAAAGCAAGCUAACGCUUGAAUACAUUAGCAUGGAAUAAUGAAAUAGGACGUUCGAUCCUAUUUUGUUGGUUUCUAGGAUUGACGUAAUGAUUAAUAGGGAUAGUUGGGGGCAUUAGUAUUCAAUUGUCAGAGGUGAAAUUCUUGGAUUUAUUGAAGACUAACUACUGCGAAAGCAUUUGCCAAGGAUGUUCUCAUUAAUCAAGAACGAAAGUUAGGGGAUCGAAGACGAUCAGACACCGUCGUAGUCUUAACCAUAAACUAUGCCGACUAGGGAUCGGAUGAUGUUAAUUUUUUAAUGACUCAUUCGGCGCCUUACGGGAAACCAAAGUGUUUGGGUUC
rnacentral:rRNA from 1 species